rnacentral:rRNA from 1 species
AUUGAACGCUGGCGGAAUGCUUUACACAUGCAAGUCGAACGGCAGCACGGGUGCUUGCACCUGGUGGCGAGUGGCGAACGGGUGAGUAACAUAUCGGAACGUAUCCAAUAAUGGGGGUUAACUAAUCGAAAGGUUGGCUAAUACCGCAUACGCCCUACGGGGGAAAGCUAGGGACCUUCGGGCCUGGCGUUAAUGGAGCGGCCGAUAUCUGAUUAGCUAGUUGGUGGGGUAAUGGCCUACCAAGGCGACGAUCAGUAGCUGGGCUGAGAGGACGACCAGCCACACUGGAACUGAGACACGGUCCAGACUCCUACGGGAGGCAGCAGUGGGGAAUUUUGGACAAUGGGCGCAAGCCUGAUCCAGCCAUUCCGCGUGAGUGAAGAAGGCCUUCGGGUUGUAAAGCUCUUUCGCAAGGGAAGAAAACUUAUCCUCUAACAUAGGAUGAGGUUGACGGUACCUUGAUAAGAAGCACCGGCUAACUACGUGCCAGCCGCCGCGGUAAAAC